rnacentral:lncRNA from 1 species
CAAGCCCCAAUAGUGAUCCCAAUUCCUUAUUUUACCUUACAACGUCAAUAGUUUUCCAACUUUCAAUUCGAAAUAUUUCUUGAUACAAUUUCCAAAAGUUGUUGAAAUCAAAUUGUUAGUGGAUUAAAUAGAAUUGGGGGGAAGGGAUUUCCGACAGACGAUCAUCUCGAAAGGUUAGUAAGUGUUUGUGUAAAAACGGGAUUUUUAUGUUGAUUGUUAGUUGUACUCAAUUUUAUUCUAAUCGAUUGUUGUGAAUAAUGUGAUUUAAUCCUCAGAAUUUAUUAUUAUUCCUUUUUCCCCAAAAAAAUGUUGUUUCUUGACGGUAUUCUUUCUUACCCAACAGCGAUAUUUCUUGACAAUGUCUCUCUUGAAUUUUUGAUUUGGUUGCUUAUGAUUUUCCCCUUGACUAAACCCUAAUUAUUAUCGCACCGUAGAUUUUUGUUUAUUUUGUUGCUUACAGAUAUUACAACCAUUGCUUUGGUUAGUGGAUUGUUGUUUAAUUUUGGCGUUUAUUUAUUUAUUGUUAUUAUUGUUUCCUUCUAAUUGUAUUUACGGAAUGUACGGAUUUUGUAUGUUUUAUUUCAAUUGAUUUUUAUUUUUCUUCUUCGUUAUUUGAUAUGUAUUUUUUUUUAAUGAUUAUUGAUAUUUUGACUUCUACUACUUAUGUAAAAAAUGAAAUUGAUUUUUGAUUUUCUGUGUUAUGUAUUUUAGAUAAAAAUAAAUAAAUAAAAAUUUUUUUUUUUUUGAUUUUGAAAUGGUUACCUUAUACUGUAAAAAAUUAGUUUCUUUUAUUUAUUUAAUUCACAACUUCAAUUAUCUAUUUCUGUUUGUGAAUAUGGGUCUGCGACCAAAGUAAUACAUUGUGUGGGACAUAUUAUGUGAAAUUAACUACUUCCAAUUCUCAUGGUAGGAAGUAAAAAAAAGCCAUUUGUUUGCUCAUUGUUGGGCCCACAAUAAUAUUUCAUAUUUGCUUCUAAAUAAUGUGCAGUGUGUUGUUCAGUCCAACACUUCUGGUUGCUGAUAAUCAAUCUUCAAAUCUAAUCUGCUCCCCACUUCAGCACUUACAGUUCUCCGUUAUGGCUGCUGUCGAUAACACUGUGCAGAGGAGCAUAAAGUUCAAAAUCACAUCAAAAGGAAUACGGCGUGAAUUAGAAGACAAGUCAAGUGGUGACAUGAUGAUGAUAGUGAAUAAUAAACGUAGAGAUGGAGUUAAUGGAAAUGGAAAAUCCAUUCCAGUCAAAUAUACGAAGUCAGGCAACUCUAACAAGCGUAAACCCGGAGUGAUCCUUGAGUGUCAUAGGGAGAAAAAGCAGAGGACAGAACAAAAUUUCAAGGAGCAGUAUAGUAAAAUUUUGAGAUCGUUGAUGAGGCACCCUCACGGGUUUGCUUUCAAUCAACCAAUUGAUCCUAUGAAGCUGAAGAUUCCAGAUUAUUUUUCAAUAAUCACUGAGCCAAUGGAUUUGGGAAAGAUCAAGUGUAAACUGGAGGAAAAUAGAUACUUUGAUGCAGAGGAAUUUGCUAGGGACGUGAGGCUGACUUUUUCCAAUGCAAUGGUGUACAAUCCUCCUGGGAACUAUGUCUAUAACUUCGCGAAAGAAUUAAAUGAUCUCUUCAGUAAGAGAUGGAAUUUAUUGAAGACUAAAUUGAAUGUGAUCGUCAAAGGAACAUCACUAGAGCUGGAAAGAGCAAUAAAGGUUUCUUUGGAAGUAACAGAAGGAAAGGUGAGUAAAUGUAAUGGUGUAUACAAUCUGGUUGUGUCUAUUGGUGUGAUGCUUUCUUCCUUUAUCAAUUUUGCACAGUACUGUUUUCUAAUUGUCACAAUGUUGUCAUGCACUUGCUUCGUUUGCUCUAUCCUUAGUUUGCUGCUCCUUGUUAGUGGUUACUAGACCUUUCUUUACAUAAAUUGUUGAUUCUGUAUGUUUUCCUGAACAGGCGAAGCCUUCGAGAACAGCACAAAGUGGGCGCCCCAAACUAGUGAAAACUUUUCAUAAAGGUUAGAGACGUGACAGAAUAAGUUUGUGCGUUCUGGUUCUUUACAUGACUGAUUGGCCAUGUAUCUUGUAUGCAGAUAAUGGAAAUCAAGCAUUUGCUACUUCCAAUAGAAAACAACCAUUUGAUUUCCCUGCAGUCAAAUGUGCUGCAUGUGGUAGUCUGACGUGCCAAUGCAGCCUCAGAUGUUCUGUUAAGCCAUCUUCCAAUGGUGAUUUAAAUUCUUAUAACAACUUGUUAAUAUGUUGCAUUUGUGUUCAUGUCAACUAAUUUGGAGUAUAUUGCAUCUUGUUUCAGAUUUUUCUUCAAAAAGAUUAUUUGAUCGUGAUCACUCCGAUGAUUCUAAACUGGUAAAUUUUAGACUCUUCUCGUUUCACCAAAUAAUU